ACUCCUACGGGAGGCAGCAGUAGGGAAUCUUCCACAAUGGGCGCAAGCCUGAUGGAGCAACACCGCGUGAGUGAAGAAGGGUUUCGGCUCGUAAAGCUCUGUUGUUAAAGAAGAACACGUAUGAGAGUAACUGUUCAUACGUUGACGGUAUUUAACCAGAAAGUCACGGCUAACUACGUGCCAGCAGCCGCGGUGAUACGUAGGUGGCAAGCGUUAUCCGGAUUUAUUGGGCGUAAAGAGAGUGCAGGCGGUUUUCUAAGUCUGAUGUGAAAGCCUUCGGCUUAACCGGAGAAGUGCAUCGGAAACUGGAUAACUUGAGUGCAGAAGAGGGUAGUGGAACUCCAUGUGUAGCGGUGGAAUGCGUAGAUAUAUGGAAGAACACCAGUGGCGAAGGCGGCUACCUGGUCUGCAACUGACGCUGAGACUCGAAAGCAUGGGUAGCGAACAGGAUUAGAUACCCUGGUAGGAUAGCG
rnacentral:rRNA from 1 species